CCUGGUGGCUUAGCGGGUAAAGCAUCUGCCUGCAAUGUGGGAGACCCAGGUUCAAUCCCUGGGUCAGGA
rnacentral:tRNA from 1 species